GUCCAGACUCCUACGGGAGGCAGCAGUGGGGAAUAUUGCACAAUGGGGGGAACCCUGAUGCAGCGACGCCGCGUGAAGGAAGAAGUAUUUCGGUAUGUAAACUUCUAUCAGCAGGGAAGAAAAUGACGGUACCUGACUAAGAAGCCCCGGCUAACUACGUGCCAGCAGCCGCGGUAAUACGUAGGGGGCAAGCGUUAUCCGGAUUUACUGGGUGUAAAGGGAGCGUAGGCGGUGCAGCAAGUCAGAAGUGAAAGCCCGGGGCUCAACUCCGGGACUGCUUUUGAAACUGUUGAACUAGAUUGCAGGAGAGGUAAGUGGAAUUCCUAGUGUAGCGGUGAAAUGCGUAGAUAUACGGAGGAACACCAGUGGCGAAGGCGGCCUGCUGGACUGUAACUGACGUUGAGGCUCGAAAGCGUGGGGAGCAAACAGGAUUAGAUACCCUGGUA
rnacentral:rRNA from 1 species